UACGGGGGGGGCAAGCGUUGUUCGGAAUUACUGGGCGUAAAGGGUUUGUAGGUGGCCGGCUAAGUCAGACGUGAAAUCCCUCAGCUUAACUGGGGAACUGCGUCUGGGACUGGUCGGCUUGAGGGCCGGAGAGGAAAGCGGAAUUCCUGGUGUAGCGGUGAAAUGCGUAGAUAUCAGGAGGAACACCGGCGGUGUAGACGGCUUUCUGGACCGUAGCUGACGCUGAGACACGAAAGCGUGGGUAGCAAACAGG
rnacentral:rRNA from 1 species